UCGGCCAAAUCACGUUGAAACACCGCUUCCUGUACGAUCACCGAAGUUAAGCAACGUCGAGCUUGAUCUGUAUGGACAUGUGUAACCGCUUGAGAAUACCAGGUGCUGUAU